CCUACGGGAGGCUGCAGUGGGGGAUAUUGCACAAUGGAGGAAACUCUGAUGCAGCAACGCCGCGUGAGGGAAGAAGGUCUUCGGAUUGUAAACCUAAGUAGUCAGGGACGAAUAAUGACGGUACCUGAAGAGUAAGCUCCGGCUAACUACGUGCCAGCAGCCGCGGUAAUACGUAGGGAGCGAGCGUUGUCCGGAUUUACUGGGUGUAAAGGGUGCGUAGGUGGGAUUGCAAGUCAGGCGUGAAAUACCGGGGCUUAACCUCGGGGCUGCGUUUGAAACUGUAGUUCUUGAGUGAAGUAGAGGCAGGCGGAAUUCCUAGUGUAGCGGUGAAAUGCGUAGAUAUUAGGAGGAACACCAGUGGCGAAGGCGGCCUGCUGGGCUUUAACUGACGCUGAUGCACGAAAGCAUGGGGAGCAAACAGGAUUAGAUACCCCGGUAGUC
rnacentral:rRNA from 1 species